rnacentral:rRNA from 1 species
AUUGAACGCUGGCGGAAUGCUUUACACAUGCAUGUCGAACGGCAGCUCGGACUUCGGUCUGGUGGCGAGUGGCGAACGGGUGAGUAAUGUAUCGGAACGUGCCCAGUCGUGGGGGAUAACGUAGUGAAAAUUACGCUAAUACCGCAUACGAUCUAUGGAUGAAAGCGGGGGAUCGCAAGACCUCGCGCGAUUGGAGCGGCCGAUAUCAGAUUAGGUAGUUGGUGGGGUAAAGGCCCACCAAGCCAACGAUCUGUAGCUGGGCGGAGAGGACGACCAGCCACACUGGAACUGAGACACGGUCCAGACUCCUACGGGAGGCAGCAGUGGGGAAUUUUGGACAAUGGGCGAAAGCCUGAUCCAGCCAUUCCGCGUGCAGGAUGAAGGCCCUCGGGUUGUAAACUGCUUUUGUACAGAACGAAAGGGUUUCUACUAAUACUAGGAGCUCAUGACGGUACUGUAAGAAUAAGCACCGGCUAACUACGUGCCAGCCGCCGCCGUAA